ACGGGUGAGUAACAUUUAGGAAUCUGCCUAGUAGUGGGGGAUAGCUCGGGGAAACUCGAAUUAAUACCGCAUACGACCUACGGGUGAAAGGGGGCGCAAGCUCUUGCUAUUAGAUGAGCCUAAAUCAGAUUAGCUAGUUGGUGGGGUAAAGGCCCACCAAGGCGACGAUCUGUAACUGGUCUGAGAGGAUGAUCAGUCACACCGGAACUGAGACACGGUCCGGACUCCUACGGGAGGCAGCAGUGGGGAAUAUUGGACAAUGGGGGCAACCCUGAUCCAGCCAUGCCGCGUGUGUGAAGAAGGCCUUUUGGUUGUAAAGCACUUUAAGCAGGGAGGAGAGGCUAAUGGUUAAUACCCAUUAGAUUAGACGUUACCUGCAGAAUAAGCACCGGCUAACUCUGUGCCAGCAGCCGCGGUAAUACAGAGGGUGCGAGCGUUAAUCGGAAUUACUGGGCGUGAGGCGAGUGUAGGUGGCUCAUUAAGUCACAUGUGAAAUCCCCGGGCUUAACCUGGGAACUGCAUGUGAUACUGGUGGUGCUAGAAUAUGUGAGAGGGAAGUAGAAUUCCAGGUGUAGCGGUGAAAUG
rnacentral:rRNA from 1 species